UACGUAGGGGGCAAGCGUUGUCCGGAUUUAUUGGGCGUAAAGAGCGUGUAGGCGGUCAGGUAGGUCAGUUGUGAAAACUGGAGGCUCAACCUUCAGAGGUCGACCGAAACCCCCUGGCUAGAGUCCGGGAGAGGAGAGUGGAAUUCCUGGUGUAGCGGUGAAAUGCGCAGAUAUCAGGAAGAACACCCGUGGCGAAAGCGGCUCUCUGGAACGGUACUGACGCUGAGACGCGAAAGCGUGGGGAGCGAACAGG
rnacentral:rRNA from 1 species